rnacentral:lncRNA from 1 species
GAUAAAGUUGAAACAAACAAACAAGUAUGAAAAACUAGACAGAUUGUAAAACAAAUUUGAGAAAUAAGAUGAUGGAUGGGAUAGCUAGAGGCUUUUUCUCCACGCAUGACAUGUAUGUAAAUAACUUGAUUUCCAGUUACCACUUCAUUGAAUUAUGAACGACAAUGCUCCAAAUUAACCGUGACAUCACUAGUUAACUCUCAGAUUUUCCUUGUUUUAUUGGAUUGGAUGACAUCAUUCGACAACCCAAAACAUUCUUCAAAAGUUCCCUACAUGACAUCAUAAUAGAGAUACAAUCAAAGCUCAUUACGUUUAAUGAAAAUCAUAAGCAUUGACAAAGCACUUGCAACUAUGACAUCAUGUCGCUUAUGCUAGGAAUUGAACUUAACGCGAUCAUUUAUAAGCGACGUUCACUACAUGGGAAUAUAAGUUUGUAACGAUUAUGUGAAACUUCCUUAGAUUCUAGCAACGGAUUUAUGCAUGCCAAUUAAGUGUCGACCCUUAAUUAACAAAUACAAAUAAGUUAUCAAUCAAAUAGUUAAGCCAAUUACAUUCACGAUUCAAGAGUUCAUAACUAGAAUUUAUCAAAUUAUAUUGCACACAUAAUCAUGGCUUUGAAAUCACCCCUAGCCAAGAGGGGUUUAGCCACUCAUAUUUACAACAAAACGAAAGGAAAUGAAUUUCAACAUUAGAAAAAAAAGAAAGAAAACACCUAAACGCUCAAACGAUCCAAGUUGGACAGCAAACACGUCCAAGCACUUUCCUUCCCUUUCUUUGCUACGGCACAAGGUGUUGGUGAGUGUUUGAAGGUUUGUUGGUAUAGAGGAAUGGAUGUGAAGAUGAAUGGAUGUGUUUGGAUGAAGGUUGUAUUGAAAUGGGGAUGAAUGAUCAAGCCAAAAUUGAACUCCAUUUAUGUUACACACACUUCCUUUUAUAGAGGAAGUGCAUGGUAAUGGAGGGGAACAUGGAGUGGUGUAGCAAUUGAGUGCAAUGAUGCAUGAAAUCUGAAAUGAUGGAGGGAACAAGGAAUGGUGUAGCAAUUGAGUGCAAUGAUUCAAUGUAAUGAUGCAUGAAUCUGAAACGAUGGAAGGAACAAGGAAUGGUGUUGCAUGAAAUCUGAAAUGAUGGCAGGAACAAGGAAUGGUGUAGCAAUUGAGUGCAAUGAUUCAAUGUAAUGAUGCAUGAAUCUGAAAUGAUGGAGGGAACAAGGAAUGGUGUAGCAAUUGAGUGCAAUGAUUCAAUGUAAUGAUGCAUGAAAUCUUAAAUAAUGAAGAGGAGAAGGGUGACGAUGCACGACAUGGGUGGAAAUUGGAGUGAUUUAUGGCAGAAAAUAGGAAAGGGAUGGCUCCCUUGCACGGCAAGGAAGAGAAAUGGUGAAGGAUGAUAUGGCUUGGACUUUUAAGGGAGGUUUAGGACUUGUAGAAUAUGUAAUGAAAUGUCCCAAAGUAUUUAGAAACCCUUCGUGUGACUGUAUCUUUGGUAAUUUAGAUUAGAAAAUGUAAAGACAAGAUAAGGCAAGUUUGACUAGUCUUUCCUCUUUCUUGAUGGUUUCCUUGUCUUCCUUGGUCCUCUAUUUAUUUUCUUCCUCUCCUUGGUACAUUCCUAGCUUCUUUAGAUCUUUAAUUUCAUCCAACCACUUUGCUCCAUGCAUGUGCUAUCCAUUCCAAGCCUAAAACUGCUCUGAAAUGCACCAAAAUGCACCUUAUUUCAUACUUUGUCCUUAGAACUUGAAAUUGCACGAAAAUGACUUUAAACACUAAAACAACUAAGGAAUAACAACAUAAAUGCAUGAGAACAAGCUAACUCAGUCGCAUAAAUAUGCUCCUAUCAAAUUCCCCCACACUUAGCUUUUGCUAGUCCUCAAGCAAAACAAAAGAAACAAAACGAAACGAAACAAACAAAACACAACCUAGACCUUCCAACAUUUGCCUCAUGGAUUUUUUAUGAAACAUGACAUGUUAAAAAUCAUCAUUCCCAUAGAUUUUGGUCAUCUUUACACUUGAGCACAUACUUAAUCACAGCCACCACUUACUAGUUCACAAUUAACCAAUUAAAACGAUGUUUUGAAUGUAGUAACAUGCCUUAGAGAAUUUGCUCAAUUUCUUACAAGAUACUCUCUAUUUUCACACACAUUUUCUGACUACACACCCUAUACUAGUAUAUGUGAGAAGAUUAAUGUAAACACGAAAGACUAGGACUCACAUAUGUUAUAACAAAGAAAGCAAUUUUCUGGAGUUAUUAAGCAUGAUUAGAUAUGAUCUCAUGAAUGGAAUGCUACUACUUAGAUGCGAGAACCAGUGACACCAUAUGCUCAUACCAAUUUCGAACUCCACAAAUUGAAACACACAACACUCACGAUUGAAGUUAAGGGUUGUAACAGGGCUUGGGGGUAAUGGCUAAUAAAGAAAGGAUAGGAAUAACAAACGUUUUUAAAGCGAUAGCAAGCAAAGCAAUGAAAUAGACACUUAGAAUUCACUUUAGAAUACAGAAUCAACUUUUAAAUAUAAAAGGAAGAUUCAUGCAACACUUAGGGCUGAAUUCAAUGUUUUGGACCAUUUUUUAACAAACAACACUUUAGAGCUCUUUUUCAUACUCUUUUCAAUUCUUUUUCUUUUCACUCUUUUUUUUUCUUUUCUACCCGCACCUUAUUAAAGACUUUGCCGCACACACACACACAAUAAUCACUUCCCCCACACUUGCUUUCUGCAAUACAUUGAUAAAAAAGGAGUUCAUUUUAAGUCAUGCUUUACUAUGCUUCAAGAACAAAGGUAUGGAUGGUCCUAAAACUAGGCUAGGUAAGGAUAGUGUGGAUUAACAAAGAACAUAGGCUUAACAAGGCUCAACGGGGUUAAACUUAAACACAUAAUGAAAUAGGGGCACGGCAAUUUGGCUUUGGUGGUUACUACAUAACUUCAUCUUGAAUAUGUGUUAUGCAAAUCAAUAGCAUGCUUUGAAUGAAAUAGGCAUGAGUUCUAGCAUUUGGAACUAAAUGAUGAAACGCCUUCUAAGUAGCAACCAAGCAAAGAAUAAUGAGAUCAUGCAAUGACUUUAGAAAACAAUGAUGCACAGAUUAUUAACUCUCCAAAUAAACAUUUAGGCUCAAGUCUCACAAGGUUGUAGUGUUUAUUUGAGUUCCUUCCUUCAAGCAUGUUACAAAAACUUAUUUUUCCUUUAUGUUUGCAUGUGAAUUCAUAAACUAUAACCACAACCAAGCAGACACCAAAGAGUAAAUCAAAUUUUCAUCCAUGUUUAUAACUCUUUUUAACAGUCAUGUAAUUAAAAACCAAAUCUUCAUCAUUGUUUAGAAGGUACCCUAAGACACAAAUAAACACACAAAAACAACUCUUUUUGGGUUUUUCAAAACAAAUUUUCAAAUUUUUAUGAGAUUUUCAGAUUUUAUGUCAAAACACACUAAAACACUCCAAAACAGCAAGGAACAACACUAGAAGUAAUGGGUGAUAAACUCCUACGAAUUUCAUGCAAAACAACUUGGUUACCCCCCACACUUAAAUCAUACAUUGUCCUCAAUGUUUCAAGCAUAAACUCACACAAAAACAAGCAAACAAACAAACAACGAAUUAACAUGACAAGUAUGGCAAAGUAAAAACCAGACAUAGUAUAGUUUAAGAACGCAAAUUUGGUUUUGGAGAUAGAUGAUCUUGUUGACUUUCCACAGCUUUGAUCUCGAACUGGUUUGGAAUUCUGAGCGAGGAAUAUCAGAGUUCUUUGGUUUCAAAUUAGACCCCUUAUGUUGGGUUGAUUUGAUUGUGCAGUCUGCAUUCUUCUCUGCUUGUUUCUUCUUCACGGCAGGCAGGCACAAGGUAGAGGUGAUGGUCUGUUUGUUGGAAAUGUGCCCUAAAGCCAAUCAUAUGAUGAUACUUUACGGACAUUUCACAUGUUAAACUAAUCUAGUUUAAUAUAAAGGGCAAAGAUUAUUGUUUGAGCCGUCUCAUAUAAAUGUUAUAUGCUUAAAUGAUAAAGUCCAAGGAAUAUGUGAUUGGGAGAAUGUAAUCUAAUGAAGUUAGAUUCAUGAGACCAUUCUUUCGUAGACACAUCCUAAAUGUUCCUGAUCAUAGGAUUGCCAAUUGGGCAUUGACAGUCCAUCAAGAUCGGUACGUGCUAUGUCUUCUCUCCGGGAGAGUGACUAGUCUCGAGUCAUUGGUGUGUGUGUGACAUCAAGACAAGUACGUAGGUGCUCAAUAGAGAAUGAGUUCACUGAACGUGAUCGACGAAGAGUUCUCAUACUCAUGUCACAUGAGAACUCAUGGUUGGGAUAAUGCAAAGUAGUCCUUUGACCUGAGGCAUCAUCGUUGUCUUGUGGUUAAGUCCUUGAUCUUUGAUUAUGUCAAAGUCACUCCAUCAGGAGGGUGUCCACGGCAUCAUUGGGGUUAAGCCACUUAGCCAUGGAGGCAAGUGAAUGCGCAACAAGGGAUCUCUAACCUUCAAACUGUU